AUGCUGGGAUUUAAUGUUUAUCUUUUCGUCUUCUCAAGUCUCAUGCAUUAAUUUGACAAACAUUUGUUGAAGGUCUGGAGUUCUGUGACCAGAUUUUCUGAACUCCAACUCAUGACAGGUGAAAAAGAAUUUUUCUGGCUGUUAUAGUUUACCUAUACUGAGAUUCUUCUGAUUCUCAAGUGUUACUCCAAAUAAGAUUGUUUGGAAAUAUCUCCUCAAAAUAUACAUGUUCUUCUGAAAGGGAUACCAGAAAACACCAUUUUUUAAGCUUGGUACAUAAUCAAAUGAAUGGUUAUAUUUGCCUUACUAUAAAUUCUUCACAAAAUAUUGG